rnacentral:lncRNA from 1 species
CUUUUGGGCAGAUAAUAGGAGUAGGCAAGCAUACAAGGAGUUUGGGGAUGUGGUGACGUUCGAUACCACGUACCUAACUAAUAAGUAUAACAUGCCAUUUGCGCUGUUUGUUGGAGUUAAUCAUCAUGGGCAAUCAACACUCCUUGAUUGUGGUUUGUUGUCAAACGAAAAUACAGAAAUAUUUGUAUGGCUUUUCAAAACUUGGCUGUAGUGCAUGCAUGGACAAGUAUUCCUUGAAAUUAUUACCGAUCAGGACAGGGCCAUACAGAAUGCAAUUCAGAUCGUGUUCCCAAACACAAAACAUAGAUGGUGCUUGUGCCAUAUAUUGAAGAAGUUGUCAGAGAAGUUUGGCUACCACAUCGAUAAGGGUGAAAUAUUUUCUACUAUACAUGUACUGGGGUAUGAUACUGAAAAUGUUGAAGACUUUGAAGAAGGUUGGAGUACGAUGGUAGAGGAGUAUAACUUGCAUGACAAUGACUGGUUGUCUAGACUGUACUCUAACAGAGACUGUUAGGUACCUUGCUAUUUGAAAAAAAGUUUUGGAGCUAGAAUGUCAACCACUCAGCGCAGUGAGAGCAUGAAUGCAUUCUUUGACGGGUACGUGCCCUCUAAGAUAUCGCAGAAGCAAUUCGUCAAACAAUACGAACGAGCUUUGAGGAAUAAGGUAGAGAAAGAGUUUCAGGCAGAUAUCAAAUCUUACUCGCAAAUGGUUCCAUGCGUAACGAAAUACGAGCUAGAGAAGCAGUUUCAGCUAGUUUACACAAUUUCAAAGUUUAGGGAAGUUCAGGAUGAGUUCAUUGGGAAGAUCUAUUGCGAUCUCAUAUCUUCGUCAGAGGGCUUUUCAAGGACGAUGUAUGAGGUAUUGGAGGAUGUCAUACUUGACAAUCGAGUGAAG